rnacentral:rRNA from 1 species
GAUGAACGCUGGCGGCGUGCCUAAUACAUGCAAGUCGAACGCUGGAGAUCUAGCUUGCUAGAUCGAAGGAGUGGCGAACGGGUGAGUAAUACAUAAGCAACCUACCCACGAAGACUGGGAUAAUCUCUGGAAACGGGGACUAAUACCGGUUAGGUAAUCGGAAGGCCUCUUCUGGUUAUUAAAGGUUAAAAACACUGGUGGAUGGGCUUAUGGCGCAUUAGUUAGUUGGUGAGGUAACGGCCCACCAAGACGAUGAUGCGUAGCCGGCCUGAGAGGGUGAACGGCCACAUUGGGACUGAGACACGGCCCAGACUCCUACGGGAGGCAGCAGUAGGGAAUUUUCGGCAAUGGGGGCAACCCUGACCGAGCAACGCCGCGUGAGUGAAGACGGCCUUCGGGGUGUAAAGCUCUGUUGUAAGGGAAGAACGGUAGAUAGAGAAUAUCUAAGUGACGGUACCUUACCAGAAAGCCACGGCUAACUACGUG